rnacentral:rRNA from 2 species
CUAGAUAUACACAAAACAUGACAGUCAAUUUUUUCGAGAGUUUGAUCCUGGCUCAGGAUGAACGCUGGCUGUGUGCCUAAUACAUGCAUGUCGAGCGGAGUUCUUCGGAACUUAGCGGCGAAUGGGUGAGUAACACGUACUUAACAUGCCUUUUAGAUUGGGACAACGAUGAGAAAUUAUCGCUAAUACCGGAUACUUAUAUGGUUCGCAUGAACUAUAUAUAAAAGAAGCCUUUAAAGCUUCACUAAAAGAUUGGGGUGCGGAACAUUAGCUAGUUGGUAAGGUAAUGGCUUACCAAGGCGAUGAUGUUUAGCGGGGUUGAGAGACUGAUCCGCCACACUGGGACUGAGAUACGGCCCAGACUCCUACGGGAGGCAGCAGUAGGGAAUUUUCCACAAUGGACGAAAGUCUGAUGGAGCGACACAGCGUGCAGGAUGAAGGCCUUCGGGUUGUAAACUGCUGUUAUAAGGGAAGAAAAAGCAGUAGAGGAAAUGCUAUUGCCUUGACGGUACCUUGUCAGAAAGCAACGGCUAACUAUGUGCCAGCAGCCGCGGUAAUACAUAGGUUGCAAGCGUUAUCCGGAAUUAUUGGGCGUAAAGCGUCUGUAGGUUGUAUGUUAAGUCUGGCGUGAAAACUUGGGGCUCAACCCCAAAUUGCGUUGGAUACUGGCAUGCUAGAAUUGUGUAGAGGUUAGCGGAAUUCCUAGUGAAGCGGUGAAAUGCGUAGAUAUUAGGAAGAACAUCAACAUGGCGAAGGCAGCUAACUGGGCACAUAUUGACACUGAGAGACGAAAGCGUGGGGAGCAAACAGGAUUAGAUACCCUGGUAGUCCACGCUGUAAACGAUGAUGAUUAGCUGAUAGUAGAACUAUCGGCACAGCUAACGCAUUAAAUCAUCCGCCUGAGUAGUAUGCUCGCAAGAGUGAAACUUAAAGGAAUUGACGGGGAUCCGCACAAGCGGUGGAGCAUGUGGUUUAAUUUGAAGAUACGCGUAGAACCUUACCCACUCUUGACAUCUUCCGCAAAGCUAUAGAGAUAUAGUGGAGGCUAACGGAAUGACAGAUGGUGCAUGGUUGUCGUCAGCUCGUGUCGUGAGAUGUUCGGUUAAGUCCUGCAACGAGCGCAACCCUUGUCCUUAGUUAAUUUUCUAGGGAGACUGCCCGAGUAAUUGGGAGGAAGGUGGGGACGACGUCAAAUCAUCAUGCCUCUUACGAGUGGGGCAACACACGUGCUACAAUGGAUGGUACAAAGAGAAGCAAAACGGCAACGUCAAGCAAAUCUCAAAAAACCAUUCUCAGUUCGGAUUGUAGUCUGCAACUCGACUACAUGAAGUCGGAAUCGCUAGUAAUCGUAGAUCAGCUACGCUACGGUGAAUACGUUCUCGGGUCUUGUACACACCGCCCGUCACACCAUGGGAGCUGGUAAUGCCCGAAGUCGGUUUUGUUAACUACGGAGACAACUGCCUAAGGCAGGGCCGGUGACUGGGGUGAAGUCGUAACAAGGUAUCCCUACGAGAACGUGGGGAUGGAUUACCUCCUUUCUACGGAG